rnacentral:rRNA from 1 species
GAUGAACGCUGGCGGCGUGCCUAAUACAUGCAGGUCGAGCGAACGGACGAGAAGCUUGCUUCUCUGAUGUUAGCGGCGGACGGGUGAGUAACACGUGGAUAACCUACCUAUAAGACUGGGAUAACUUCGGGAAACCGGAGCUAAUACCGGAUAAUAUUUUGAACCGCAUGGUUCAAAAGUAAAAGACGGUCUUGCUGUCACUUAUAGAUGGAUCCGCGCUGCAUUAGCUAGUUGGUAAGGUAACGGCUUACCAAGGCAACGAUGCAUAGCCGACCUGAGAGGGUGAUCGGCCACACUGGAACUGAGACACGGUCCAGACUCCUACGGGAGGCAGCAGUAGGGAAUCUUCCGCAAUGGGCGAAAGCCUGACGGAGCAACGCCGCGUGAGUGAUGAAGGUCUUCGGAUCGUAAAACUCUGUUAUUAGGNAAGAACAUAUGUGUAAGUAACUGUGCACAUCUUGACGGUACCCUAUCAGAAAGCCACGGCUAACUACGUGCCAGCAGCCGCGGGUAUACGUAGGUGGCAAGCGUUAUCGGAAAUUAUGGGCGUAAAGCGCGCGUAGCGGUUUUUUAGUCUGAUGUGAAAGCCCACGGCUCAACCGUGGAGGGUCAUUGGAAACUGGAAAACUUGAGUGCAGAAGAGGAAAGUGGAAUUCCAUGUGUAGCGGUGAAAUGCGCAGAGAUAUGGAGGAACACCAGUGGCGAAGGCGACUUUCUGGUCUGUAACUGACGCUGAUGUGCGAAAGCGUGGGGAUCAAACAGGAUUAGAUACCCUGGUAGUCCACGCCGUAAACGAUGAGUGCUAAGUGUUAGGGGGUUUCCGCCCCUUAGUGCUGCAGCUAACGCAUUAAGCACUCCGCCUGGGGAGUACGACCGCAAGGUUGAAACUCAAAGGAAUUGACGGGGACCCGCACAAGCGGUGGAGCAUGUGGUUUAAUUCGAAGCAACGCGAAGAACCUUACCAAAUCUUGACAUCCUUUGACAACUCUAGAGAUAGAGCCUUCCCCUUCGGGGGACAAAGUGACAGGUGGUGCAUGGUUGUCGUCAGCUCGUGUCGUGAGAUGUUGGGUUAAGUCCCGCAACGAGCGCAACCCUUAAGCUUAGUUGCCAUCAUUAAGUUGGGCACUCUAAGUUGACUGCCGGUGACAAACCGGAGGAAGGUGGGGAUGACGUCAAAUCAUCAUGCCCCUUAUGAUUUGGGCUACACACGUGCUACAAUGGACAAUACAAAGGGCAGCGAAACCGCGAGGUCAAGCAAAUCCCAUAAAGUUGUUCUCAGUUCGGAUUGUAGUCUGCAACUCGACUACAUGAAGCUGGAAUCGCUAGUAAUCGUAGAUCAGCAUGCUACGGUGAAUACGUUCCCGGGUCU